rnacentral:lncRNA from 1 species
GGUGUUAGAGGGAAAACUGCUGGGAGUUAGAGAGGGAGGAGUCUAAAGAACAUACAAAGAUCUUGAAAGGAAGGGCUGAUGAAAUUUGCUUAUAUUGUUUUAUCCAAUCCAGCUCUUCCUGUGUUAUCAUUUGCUAGUGGAAAAUUUUAAAUAACCAUUGGCUAAAGUGGUUUCAUUCAGUGGAGGGGCUAAAGAUUUCUUUCCCAAAAUUUGUCCUUGUUUUUGCCAUUCUGAAGACAAGAUGAGGUGAAAUCAGAAUGAAAGGAUACUCUUGUCCACAGUGUGGAGCUACUGCAACUGAAGAAAGAAAGAAAGAGGAAGAAGAAGAGGAGGAGGAAGAGGAGGAAGAAGAAAACUCCAAUUAUAUAUUUCAAUUGCAUAGACUAUUACAAAAUGAUUUUUCUGUGAUAAGUUCUUUCUCUGGAUGAGGAUCGCGUUCUUUCUCACAAGUCCUGGAUCAUUGCAUUGCUGCUAGUAGAGAAGUCCAUUACAUUCUAUUGUGCCACAG